GUCCAGCUCAGGUGAUUACGCAACAGUGAUAACGCGAUCGUGGUCCAGUUUGCUUUCGAAAUUCGGCCGUUGUAUUUUAUACUAAUUUAUAUAUGUUUUAGAAGUUUUAGCAAUAGUGGUCAAAUGUGCGUUUGUGCGCUCGUAUUGUAGUUUUUCGUUGUUUGACGCGUAUCCGCGCCGCGGUACAAGUUUUUAUUUGUAGCCUGAAGAUGAGCAUAAAGCUCGAAAUGCGCAUCGCUUGAAAGUAAAACAUCAAUCUCCAUCGGGAAGAAAAACUGAAUGAGGAUUUUAACAUUAUUUUUCUGAUGAAGAAAAUAUGUUGUUUGAAAAUUGGCCCAAAACCUCUGUCAACAUUAUACGCUGCGUCCAGGAAAAAUGUAAAAACGACAUACACAGUUUCCGAGGAUUGUUAGCAGAUGACUUCCCAGAAGUUGUUGAAUGGAAAUUUGAAAGUGGGAUGACUCUUCACAGCAAGGAGGUAAAAUAUCACCAACUUUAAACAAUUGCAUUGGGGAUCUCCGGUUAUUAAAAAUAGUUGGCAAUGCUAUUACCGCUUUAUCUCAUUGAUUUCUAUAACAGGAUCGAAUCAAGUCGCUUGAGGUGUAAAUGGUUGCACACAGUUUAAAAGUAACGCACCAAGCAAGGUCGAGGGUGAAUGACCGAGUAUCGAUAUUCCCUCAUUUGAAGCUAUGGUAAAUAAUCGAUUAUUAAAGCGUUCGUCACAAACACCCCGAUUUCCGAUACUUUUCCAUAGAUGUAUUAGUUGUUUCACUUAUGACAUGUAUAUGUAUAUACCUGCUAAUAGUAGUGAAAUGGUGUUACUGUAGGAAACACGAAAAAAUUAGAUUUGCA
rnacentral:lncRNA from 1 species